UCAGGAGCUACAAAGACCACCUGGAAGUCCUGGACAUUCACCACACCGACCAGGGCUGCUAUCCCACCUGCAUGGUCUGGUACCCACCACUCACCAGGGAACUCUUCCUGCUUAUUUGCAACAGUGGCUACAAAGUGAAGCUUUUUAAUGCUACUACCAAAAUGUGCAGAGGAGGAGACUGAGGCACAGAUAACGUAAGUAAUUCUCACCAAGGUCAUGUGGCCCUGUGUGGAGGUGAGAUGUGCAGAAUCCAGGAAGGACA
rnacentral:lncRNA from 10 species